UGGCACUUCACUAGUGUUGUCUCAACACAGCCCGGGGUGACCUCACUGCAGGCAGGGCUCCAAGGGCAGGCCUUGCUGAGGCCAGGGCCACCCAAGGACACCCCAGGCCCAGAGGCCGCGGAGGGAGAGCAAAGCCGCCUCCACUGUCCUAGUUCAGCCAUGAACAUUUUCAUUUCCUCAAGGCUGUGAUACACCGUAGAACCACGAAUUGUUCGUUUUUCCUUCCCCUGUGAGUUACGUUAUACCGUGUUCCAGAUGCCUUACGUGUUUUCUAUCAUUAAAUCCUCCCAACCAACCUUUUGAGCCAAGGCCCCCAUCUCAGUUUCACAGUUGAGCAGCCUGAGGUUCGGAGACAACAAAGCGGAGCCUUGUCAGCCCUCCCGAGGAGAGUCGGACAUCUCCAGGCUGCCGAGCCAAAGACUGUCCAGUGCAUCUGCAGCUUCUCCAUCUUCCUUGCUGACAGCCCCUUUGGAGAAGAAAUCCCGAUGCAAAAGGCCUGCGGGUGACCAGGACACAAUGACCCUGAGCUGCUCCUGGUCACCAUGCAUCCCUGCUCACGGGAGAAGCCUAUUGGUUCUAAGGAGAUCAAACCAGGUAACCCUGAAGGAAAUCAACCCUGAAUAUUCAUUUGAAAGACUGAUGCUAAAGCUCCAGUACUUUGGUCACCUGAUGUGAAGAACCAACUCAUUGGAAAAGCCCCUGAUGCUGGGAAAGAUUGAGGGCAGGAGAAGAGGGCGACAGAGGAAGAGAUGGUUGGAUGGCAUCACUGAGUCGAUGAACAUGAACUUGGGCAGACUCCGGGAGAUGGUGAAGGACAGGGAAGUCUUGCAUGCUGCAGUCCGUGGGGUUGCAGAGUCGGAUGUGACUGAGUGACUGAACAGAGCACAGAGCUCACUGGAGAACUGAGACCAGAUGGUCUCCCUUACUAGGAAGCCAUCCCACUUUAGAAGUAGCCCGGCUCUGCAGGCCCAAGCCCAAGACCCAGCAGGCAAACCAGAUGCUGUCCUCGUUCCACUCUCCAAGCCUGCUGGGUGGGCUCGCAUUCCUUUAGGAUGGGAUGCUGUUCGCCUUGCAAAGCUGCAAAGGCACGCAAGCUGACCAAAAAGCACGCAGGCCAGAGAGUGCCCAGCUCUCUGAGGCCUGAAACUGAUUCUCUCCUUGGAAACUGAUCUCUGAUCUGGGAAAUACUUGGCAGGGAAAGAGAGUUAAAGAGGAGCUGACACGUCAUGAUGUGGAGGGAGGCUGGAGAGGCCUCACAGAAGUAAAGAUGGGAGGAUGGUGUGUACCCAGGGGCGGGCAGCAGGACAGCAAGUGGCUGCGGAGAAGGGAGACACGAGCAGAGAGAGGUAGGGGUCUCACCAGAGACGUGAAGGCAGGCAGAGUCACACAGACACGUGAUCCACACUGGGGCCCCGGACAGGCAGUGUCCAGGAGCUGCCUAGGGACUUCCUACACUCAACAAUCUGACAAUCUCUCAGUUCAGGUCACUCAGUUGUGUCCAACUCUUUGCGACCCGACUCAAACAAUCUCUCCAAAUAAAAAGAGCUUCAAUCUCAACAGCCACAGGCUGAACCUCUCACGGGGUCACUGCAAAGGCUGUGGAUAUAGUACGGAUGGUUCCGGGUGAAACCACACUUCUGACGGGAAAAUCUCAACUGGGAGCCAACUUCUCUUCAGGGCUGACCACACGCCAUGUUCUCUUUUCUCGUCAUUCCUCACAGUCCUGUUCUGUCCCCCAGACGGCUGUGUUCCCAUUUUACACAGGCGGAGCUAGUUUACUACACUCUUACUGUGAAUGGUGGAGUCGGGAGGAGCCCUGCUCGCUCCACUCCAGGUCCUCAUUCAAACAGAAGCUGGAGGCCACGGACCUUGUGAGGGGAACCACCUGCCCUGGCCAGACCAUGAAGGUUCCUAUAAUAACCAUCAGUAGGAGAUAUGUUAUCUUACAACAGGUUGUCCUGGUAAGGAAUGCAGAACGAACAAGCUACUGCUAACUGAAGAAUCUGGGAAAAGUCAAAAGGAGAGAGAGGACGCCAAUUCAUAUAUACUGCUAACCUCCCAGAAUCCGCCUCGCUGGAAUCCAUCUUGGCUGAGAGAUGUGUGCGCCACCAGGAAGGAUGCUGCGUCAGGACGACUGGCCAGAGGCAACCCAGAAACGAACUUCAUCACCGUGAAGCCCGAGCCUGCGAGCUGCACAGGAGAGCAGUUCUCCCUGGCCCACGUACCCUGCUGCUCUCCACCUGGGUGCCCCCUCCCAAUAAAGUCUCUUGCUUUGCCAGCACGUGUGUCUCCCUGGACAAUUCAUUUCCAAGUGUUAGACAACAGCCUACUCGCUGGCCCUGAAAGGGGUCCCCCUUGCUACAACCUCCUCAGGCAGAAGGGCAAAGAUUUCUGCAGCAGAUUCCAGGCAGGCUGGACCCGGCCAGUGGCUGGCCCAAGGUCCAAUGUCUAGUGACUGCAUCAAAAUCUCCCAACGUUUAUGAAAAUACCCAGUCCCAGGCUCCAGCCCCGGCUUCAAGGAUUCUGAUCCA